GCAGCCGCGGUAAUACGUAGGGGGCAAGCGUUGUCCGGAAUUACUGGGCGUAAAGGGCGCGUAGGCGGCAUAUUAAGUUAGAUGUGAAAUUCCCGGGCUUAACCUGGGCGUUGCAUUUAAAACUGAUAAGCUUGAGUGCAGGAGAGGAAAGUGGAAUUCCUAGUGUAGCGGUGAAAUGCGUAGAUAUUAGGAGGAACAUCAGUGGCGAAGGCGACUUUCUGGACUGUAACUGACGCUGAGGCGCGAAAGCGUGGGUAGCAAACAGGAUUAGAUACCCC
rnacentral:rRNA from 1 species